UACGUAGGGCGCAAGCGUUGUCCGGAAUUAUUGGGCGUAAAGAGCUCGUAGGCGGCUUGUCACGUCGGGUGUGAAAGCCCGGGGCUUAACCCCGGGUCUGCAUUCGAUACGGGCAGGCUAGAGUGUGGUAGGGGAGAUCGGAAUUCCUGGUGUAGCGGUGAAAUGCGCAGAUAUCAGGAGGAACACCAAUGGCGAAGGCAGCUCGCUGGGACGGUACUGACGCUGAGACGCGAAAGCGUGGGGAGCGAACAGG
rnacentral:rRNA from 1 species